AACGAACGCUGGCGGCAUGCCUAACACAUGCAAGUCGAACGAAGGCUUCGGCCUUAGUGGCGCACGGGUGCGUAACGCGUGGGAAACUGCCCUUUGGUUCGGAAUAACAGCUGGAAACGGCUGCUAAUACCGGAUGAUGACGAAAGUCCAAAGAUUUAUCGCCAGAGGAUGAGCCCGCGUUGGAUUAGGUAGUUGGUGGGGUAAAGGCCUACCAAGCCGACGAUCCAUAGCUGGUCUGAGAGGAUGAUCAGCCACACUGGGACUGAGACACGGCCCAGACUCCUACGGGAGGCAGCAGUGGGGAAUAUUGGACAAUGGGCGCAAGCCUGAUCCAGCAAUGCCGCGUGAGUGAUGAAGGCCCUAGGGUUGUAAAGCUCUUUUACCCGGGAAGAUAAUGACUGUACCGGGAGAAUAAGCCCCGGCUAACUCCGUG
rnacentral:rRNA from 1 species